GAAUGGUGAUAUCACACUGCCCAUCUCUCUCCCUGUGGGCAAAGACAAGGGAAGUACAGGAUUUAAAGUUGUAGUCCAGGACUUGAGGCCGAGGCUGUGGACCCUCGGACACAAACAAAGCUAAUACCAGUUUUUCUCCAGGACUUUCCUUUUUACUAAGAAAUGAGUGAGCAGUCAGUGAGCUUUGUGGACCUCAGAUUUCAUACUCCUGCAGAGCAGAAGAGAAAACGAAGACCAAAGCAUGCCAGGGUCACAGAAUUUCCUCCAUCUUCACCAUGGCUCCUUACAGUGAUUCUGGGGCUCCUCUGUCUGGCUUUGCUAGUAACGGCAAGGGUUUGGGUUGCCAUGGGUAAGUAUUUGCCAAGACAGCAACAAAACAGGAUCUGAACCAUUAUAACUUUUAGAAGGGCUUGGUAUGCGGUGUGUAAAUGCAUGUGUGAGACACUGUCAUAGUUUGCAUUACUUUGUGAAAAACAACUUUCAGUUGGUAUUCAGAGCCUGUUGCCUGCCGAGUGUGAUUUGAAUAUUACCUGUAAAACAUGUGAGAAGCUGAGAUACUUUUAAGGUUGUGUCUACACAACAUUUUGGAGCAAGAAGGAGCAAGCCUUCAAGCCCAGGUCAACAGACUCAGGCUAGUGGGGCUUCCACUAAUGCUCUACAAAUCGCUGUACAGACAGAACUUUGAAGUUACGUUCUGCGGUGCAGCUCCAGCUCUGAAGCCUAGGGAGAGGGGUGGUCCUAAGGGUCCUUCUGAGUGAACACUUGAGUUGAUUUGAGACUUAAACUAUCUACAGUUUAAAUGUGGUUAGAAAUGGCAUCAUGACUAGGACUGGGUGAAUUUUUGUCAGUGAAUAUUUUAUUAGCCAAAAAAUGCA